GAAAGAUUAACAGAUUCCCUAGGUGUAGCUAAAAGUGCAUUAUCUUCUUGAUUAAAAGAUAGGACCUCAGCUAUAGAAAAGGGUUGGUUUUGACCUAUCAACUCCGGACACAGAUCAUAAUUAGGGGCAGGACUUGUUGACUCCCAUGGUCUAUGGCUGGUCUCCGAAGGUGCAAAAAAUUUAAUAAUAGGUAUGGAAUUUAAGUUAUCCAUAAAGAUGGAAAAAAUAAAAAGAUAAAAGAAUAAAAGUAUAAAAGUAUAAUACAAGAUAAUAGCAAGGCUCAAAGUUAUCUCAGCAAACCGUCUUUCUCCCCGGC
rnacentral:lncRNA from 1 species